GACGAACGCUGGCGGCGUGCUUAACACAUGCAAGUCGAACGGAAAGGCCCCUUUGGGGGUCCUCGAGUGGCGAACGGGUGCGUAACACGUGAGUAACCUGCCCUUGACUUCGGGAUAACUUCAGGAAACUGGGGCUAAUACCGGAUAGGAAUCCUUGCUGCAUGGUGGGGGUUGGAAAGCUUCGGCGGUUUUGGCUGGACUCGCGGCUUAUCAGCUUGUUGGUGGGGUAGUGGCUUACCAAGGCUUCUACGGGUAGCCGGCCUGGGAGGGCGACCGGCCACAUUGGGACUGAGAUACGGCCCAGACUCCUACGGGAGGCAGCAGUGGGGAAUAUUGCACAAUGGGCGGAAGCCUGAUGCAGCAACGCCGCGUGCGGGAUGACGGCCUUAGGGUUGUAAACCGCGUUCAGCAGGGGCGAAGCUUGUGGUGACGGUACCUGCAGAAGAAGCACCGGCUAACUACGUG
rnacentral:rRNA from 1 species